GCUAUCCCAGAGCUGGAAGACCACAUACGACGGCUCCAAGGUGAAAAGGCCAGGCUGGAAACCACAGUCCAGCAACAAGCAAAGACCAUCGAAGCCCUUUGGAAAAAACUGCAAGCCUGUGCCUUAUCUCAUAAUGGCCUGGAGGACUCGGUAACCGGCUUUCGGACAACACGGACUGCAAAGGAACACCGACGUCGGCAGCGUGGCAGUGAAAGCAAGGAAGUAAAGAAGCUGGGCAAGACGCAAUGCCGAUCGGAAGCGCUUCCGGAUGAAGCGUGGAAAAGAAACGCCGCGCUGGAGGAAGAACAG